AGGAUCAUUGUCGAAACCUGCCCUAACGGAACGAUCGCGAACCGGUUAUACUCAACAGUCGGUCGGGGAGCCGGUAACGGAACCCCGACCGCGGCCGCCGAGGCGAUGUUGGGGCUCGCCCCGAUGUCCAUCGCCCUCGGUUGCCAAGAACAAAAAAUUCGGCGCGAAUUGCGCUAAGGAAUCGUUACCAAUGAUUCGCGUCGCCCCGUGCCAUUCUCGGUUUCGGUGGGCGACGUCGAUGUCAAAUAUUAUAUUUCUAACGACUCUCGGCAACGGAUAUCUCGGCUCUCGCAUCGAUGAAGAACGUAGCGAAAUGCGAUACUUGGUGUGAAUUGCAGAAUCCCGUGAACCAUCGAGUCUUUGAACGCAAGUUGCGCCCGAAGCCUCUGGGUCGAGGGCACGCCUGCCUGGGUGUCACACAACGUCGCCGACGUGCAUAGCAUCGUCAGCGGACGAUGGCCUCCCGCGAACCCUUUGCGGCGCGGUUGUCCCAAAGUCACGAGCCUCGGCUAAGCGCAGCCACGACAUUCGGUGGAUUGUUGCCGGAACAUCGUCGUGAGCGCGCUUCAUCUAUCGGCCCGAAGGACCCCCGGGAGACGUACGUCUCUUGCAAUACCAUGCGACCCCAGGUCAGGCGGGAACACCCGCUGAGUUUAAG
rnacentral:rRNA from 1 species